UGGCUGGGCUGGUAUCAGUGAGAUACCCGCAGCUGAAACCUCAUUUCACAGCUUGAUAAAAAUUAAACAUAAAAGACUCUUCCUGCUCCACAAUGGAAAUAUAGGCUGCUUUGUGAUGAGACGUGCUGCCUCUCGUACAUGAAUCACUAGCUUCCAGCCCCACCUUGCUUCUGAGUAAUGGUCCAUGGAUUGAGAGGCACUUGCUCAUCAUUGAAAGUCAUUGCUCAUUACAUCGCAGAGAAAGUUUGCAAAACUUUCUGCCUGGAGUCUCGAAGCCUUGUCAACAUGACCUCAGGAAGACCCUUCACCCCUGGAAUCCUGACUCUUUGCCUGGCAGCAUUGGCUCCAGCACCUCAUUGUGAUCCUAGAGCAGCAGCUGGGAAAAUCACAUUUGGCUUCGUUAGGCUCUGCCAAAGGUGGGCUAGAGGGAAGCUGCAAAAGGGCGGAGGAAGUCCGGAAUCGCUCCCUGCUGUCUGCUGCCUGUGAAUUUCUUGUCCUCUGCCUGUGGACGUCCUGUCGGUUUCUAAUGGGUUUCCUGUUCUUGGUAGCACCACCCCAGCAGUGGUGGUUUCUUUCUGAGUAGCUGAGUCCACACUGCGGUUUCUCCAGCUCUCUCAGAAAAGCUUCAUCACGUCCCCCCAGAGCCAUCAGCAUCCGAAGGCCAUUCUCCCCUCCUCAGAGGUUCCGGUCCCCAUAGCCUCUCCUCUUAGUUUUCUACAUUUAAAUAAUCCCAGCCUUUUCCUCCUUGUUCCUUCUGUUCUAGAGGUGGUAGCUGCUUCCUAUAGGUGCUGCCUCUGUGAUAACUCCCAGUUUCCUAGUUAACAACUCUAUACCUCGUUGACAAUUUCCUGUUAUGAAAGUCUCUGUGUAGAAACAACUUCUGUGAUUUCUGAUACCUGUCUGGACUCUGACGGAUAACACCACUAUUAGCGGAUUAAUUUUUAAGUUUCUGAUUUUUUUUCCAUGAAUUAAUUAUUUUAUGAUUUUCUUUUUCGGCUGCCCUGUGGCAUAUGGAGUUGGCAGGCCACGGAGAGAAUCCGAGUCAGGGUUGUGACCUAGGCCACAGCUGCGACAACACUGGAUCUUUAACCCACUGCUCUGGGCUGGGGAUGGAAUUCAAACCCUGGUGCUGCAGAGACACCAUUUCUCCCAUUGUGCCAUAGCAGGAACUCCUUUUUCUAUGAGUUUAUGCACACAUGUGCAUGCACAUGUGUAUUAUGUUUAAUCAUAAGUACAUGACUUUAUUUUUAUAAAAAUGCCAUUAUAUUCUUUGCCUACUCUUUGGCACCCUGCACGUUCCAGUUAAUUUUAAACAUGAUGAAAUAAGAAAUAAAAAAUAUAUUCUGAGGAACUUUCCAUGUCAGUACGUAUGAGGUUUCUUUAUAAUUUUUCUGGUCUCCACAGUGUUUCAUAAUCUAUUCGAUGAUGACCAUUCAUAGAACUUUUGGUUGUUUCUAAUUUUUUUGCAAUUAUAGAAAAAUUUUUAUGAAUAUACAUACACACACACAGGCAAUUCUUUUUUUUUCGCACACAGGCAAUUCUUGAGGUGUACGUUUUAGUAUAGAUCUUUAAGACAGAUUCCUAGUAUUGAAUAGUUUAAAUAACAUUCCCACUAACUUUUUUUUCUAGAUACAUGCAUCUGGUGCCCUCAAAAUAAACUUUAUCAUCUGAUAUUACCGCCAGCAAUAGGUGAUUGUGUCUAAAAGGAAAAACCCAGUCUUUCCCUAUGUUGUAGGGAAGAACCCUCUUUCAGUCUGUCUCCUGGUUUGUUUCUUCAAUUUUUAAAUUUCUUUGGUUUUUUAGGGUCACCCCUGUGGCAUAUGAAGGUUCCCAGGCUAGGGGUAAUUGGAGCUGUAGCUGCUGCCCUAUGCCACGGCCACAGCAAUGCAGGACCUGAGCGGUGUCUGUGACCUCCACCACAGCUUGUGGCAAUGCCAGAUCCUUACCCCACUGAGCGAGGCCAGGGAUGAAACCCACAUCCUCAUGGACACUAGUUAUCCUUCAUUACCACUGAGCCAUGACGGGAACUGCUCCUGUGCGUUUCUAUUAUCACUCACACAAAAUACUUCACUCCUGACAGUUCUGGUCAUCAAAUGUGUGGAAGUUUCCCCCCACCCCAAACAAUUCUGUGUGACACCAGCUGGGUGUCCUACAAUUUAAUUCAAUUCUGACACUGCCUACUUGGAGACAGCAUCAGACCUCAGUGGUUAAGGGCUCAGUUCCAUAAGAACUGCCCCCUGCUCCUCCAGACACCAGCUGCAAGACCAGAUUAUCCCCUAAACUUUGGGCAGAACUGCUAUAGAUUAGAGGUUCCAACAACUCCCUCCUUGGGCUCAAUUAAUUUGCUAGAGCAGCUCACAGAACUCAGGAAAACACAUUUAUCAUUUUAUUAAAGGAUGUGAUAAAGCAACAGAUGAACAGCCAGAUGAAGAGAUACAUAGGGUGAAGUCUAGGAGGGUCCUGAGCACAGGAGCUUCUGUUCUGUGAACUCGGGGUGCGUCACCUUCUCCACGUGGAUGCUUGCCGACCUUGGGGGUCUCUGAACCCCUUGCUAUUGGGGUUUUAUGGAGGCUUCAUCAUAUGGACAUGAUGAAUUACUAACUCCAUUCUAGCCCUUCUCCCCUGCAGACUGGGGGUUGCUGCUGAAAAUUCCCAGCUUCUAAUCAUGGCUAGGUCUUUCUGAUGACCAGCCCCCCUCCAGGGUGGGAGCCAUCCAGGAGCCCACCCUGAAUCACCUCAUUAGAACAAAAUAUGCUCCUGGUGCUCUUCUUAGGAAUUUUUGAGGGUUUUAGGGGUUCUGUGCCAGGGACUGAGGGCAGAGACCACUGUCUAUAUUUUCCGUUAUCUCACAGUGCCCAUCUGCUUUCUCUCUUGUAUGAAUUCCUAAAAGUUUCUGGCCUGCUGAUGGCAUACUCUUUUUUAUAUUCCAGGGAUAGUAUUGAUUUUCUGUUGCUUCUUAGGUAGGAGUGACCAGAGCAUGUGCUCAGCUGCCAUCUUGAUCCAAUUUUCUCAAAUACCAGUUUUUUCCAGUAGCCUUGAUAUUCUUCUUUCAAUAAAUCUUAAAGUAGUCUAUUGUCAAUUAUCUUGCUUCCCAGGCAAACUUGAGAAUGCUUUGGAUGGUUUUUUUGCACAAGGAAAAUGAUUUGAACAUUUUUUCUAGACAGGUGAGUUUCUUUCUUCUUGAAGAAUGAACCUUACAAGGAGUAUUAAUGAGGAAACUAUGACCAAGAGUUAAUAGUAAUUGCAAUACAAAAUAGACAUUUUUUGAGCACAUAUAUCCACCACAUCCUAUUAGGUACCUUUACACUGACUAUGUAAUUGAAUACUUAGAGUAAUUCUAUUUUAUAGAUGUGGAAACUGAGGCUUAGAGAAGUUAAAUAACUUGCCAAAAACACAUAGUUAGCAAGCAGCAGAGCCAGAAUGUAAAUCCAGGUAUUCAGACUUCUUUUUACUAUUUAAUCAUGAAUUUAUUCAUAAAUGUAUAUUAAUUGCACACUUUGUGUGGUAGCCAGUUUCUAAGACAGUCCCCUGGUGACUCCUGCCUCCUAGUAUUCACCAGUAGGUGGUCUUUCCCCACAGUGAAUAUGAUGGAUCUGUGUAAUCAAGAGGAUAUUGUAGAAGUAACGUGUGUGACUUCCAAAUCUCCAUCAUAAAACACAUUGUGGCUUCUGCCUUACUCUCUCUUGGAUCAGCCAUGAAAAUGAGCCACUUUGGAAGCCUGCAGUCCAACCUUCAGAUAAUUGUAGGCUCACAUCUUGACUGCAAUCUCAUGAAGGGACCAUAAACCAGAACCACCCAGCUGAGCUGCUGCCAAAUUCUUGCUGCACAGAAGAAACUGUGUGAGAUGACUCAUGUUAUCACUUUAUGCCACUUAGUCUUGGGAUAGUUUGUUACACAGCAAUAGAUAACUGUUAUAUUUAGUCUAUGUCAGGUGAAGUCCUAGGUAUUGGGGAUAUGGAAGUCAAUAAUGCAGACAAAGUUCCCUUAUGUGUUUUGUUUGUUGCCUUUCUCUUGCUGCUUCUAUUUUAUCUUUAAGUGUUGUCAUUUUACUUACAUUAUGUCUUGGUGUGUUCCUCUUUGGGUUAAUCCUGUAUAGGACUCUUUGGGCUUUGUGGACAUGAGUGACUAUUUCCUUUCCCAGGUUAAAGAAGUUUUCAGUUAUUAUGUCUUCAAAUAUGUUCUCAGCCCUUUUCUCUCUUCUUUUUCUGAAUCUCCUAUAAUGUGAAUAUUAGUGCAUGUAAUCUUGUCCCAGAGGUCUCUUAAACUGUCCUUGUUUCUUUUCAUUCUUUUUUCCUUAUUCUGUUCUGAGGCAGUGAUUUCCUCUACUUUGUCUUUCCAGCUCAGUGAGCUACUUUCUGUACUGUUUAGUCUACUUUUGAUUCCUUCUCGUGUAUUUUUCAUUUCAGUUAUUGCAUUCUUCACCUUUGAUUGGUUAUUCUUUGUAUUUUCUAACUCUUUGUAAAUAACUUCUGACCUUUUAUUCUGUGCAUCCAUUCUUCUCAUGAGUUCUUUGAUCAUAUUUGCAUCUUUGUUAUCCAGAACUCUUUCUUGGGUAGUUUGCCUAUCUCCACUUUAUUUAGCUGUUCUUCUGGGGUUUUAUCUUGUUCCAUUGUCUGAAAUAUAUUCCUCUGCUGUCUCAUUUUGUCUAAAUUUCUAUUGGUAUUUUUUAUAUAUGUGGAAGGUUAUUUAUGUUUCUCAACCUUUCUCAACAUGUAGGACAUCCCCUACAAAGGGCCACUUCAGUGUCCCAGCAGCACAUGCUCCUCUUGUAACCCAAGGGCCAGGGACCAGCUGGUCCCAGGGUAGUGUCUACCCUAUGUUUGUGGACUUAUUUCUGCAGGUUGUGGGACUGUAGUUUUCUUGCUUCUGGCUUCUGCCCCAUGGUGGGUGAGGCUGGUCCAGAGGUGUGCACAUGCUUCCUGAUGGGAGGGGCUGGUACCUGCCCACUGGUGGGUUGAGCUGGUUCUUGACCCUCUAGUGGGCAGAGCUGCGUCAAAGGGUGUGUCUAGAGGCAGCUGUGGGCUCAGGAAAGUUUUUAGGCAGCCAGCCUGCUGAUGGGUGGGACUGUGUUCUUGCCCUAUUGGUUGCUUGGUUAUGAGCCCCGCAUUGGAAGAACUGGGGCUGCUGUGGAAGAACCUCUGGAAUAUAAGUUUUCUCUUGCUUGUGCCUCACCCACCAGGAGGUAUGGAACUUGAUUAUAUCGCAAAUCUGUGCCUCCUCCCAUCUCAUUGUGGAUUCUUCCUUAUGUCUUUAGUUGCAGAAUAUCUUUUGUGGCAACUUUUGCUCUUUGUCAUCAAUGGUCGUUCUGCAGAUGGUUGUGAUUUUGGUG
rnacentral:lncRNA from 1 species